GGGGCUUCUAGUUUAACACAGAGAUCUGAACUUUGUUUGUGUGGAGUUUAUUGAAGUUUGGCUAUGUGAUGAAUUUAUCAUUCUAGUCACAGGAAGAAAACAGCAUUGAGUUGUUACUAUGGAGUUGCAGAUAUAUUUGAUCAUGAACUAGAUAUAAAUUUUUGUUAUAAGUUAUUUUUUUAAAAAUUAAUUUGUACACUUUGUUCAGAUUAAGUGAUGGCCUUUUGCGUAAAAUGCCUUUAAAAUUCGUUUGUCCAUCUGUCUCUGUGUAUGAUAUUUAUACAUUUGUUGAUCAGACUCAAGGGCAUUAUGCUACUCACACAUGACACGUCUCUGUUAUCUGGUCGUUAAGCACGUGGUAUUCAGCCCAGUCUGUAUUUUAGAGGUAUUAAGCACCAGUCCUUGUAAAUGGGAAAGACCAAAAGAUUCAGAUCCUUCAUCGAGUGUUUUAAAAAUUGAUAGCUUCUUAUUCCUAAUCAUUUUGUCAAAAUUAAAAAAUCUACUGCUCCUGUCUCCAUGUAUAUCAUGUGCCCUGCUGUACAGCUUUUUUGAAACCUUUCUUUUAACUUUGAUGUUGAAGAAAAUAUGAUUAAUUUUUAUCUGCACUGAGGUGAACAGACCACUUAACACUCAUCUGACAUCUUGAUCUUUUGGGGGUUUUCCCAGGGUAUUUUUCAUAUGGCUUCUGGGCAGUUUUGAAUCUCGCAUAUGCAGACAGAGUUGUUUUAAACUGUUGUUAUUUGUUAUUUUUAAUUAUGUAAAAAACAGUGUUCUGACACAGUCUCGGUUUUUAUUCUGUUGAUGAGAAUUGGUAAUUAUAACAAAACUUUUAUUCUUUGAUACAAGUAUUAUUUAUGGACUGAGGUCUUAUUUUUUCUUUUCUUUUUUAAUGGUGCAAGAUUUAGCUGUAGAUGCCACUUGCUGAUAUUUCUCACAAUAUUUGAUACAGUUUGCAGCUUGUUACAAUGUCCUCAUCAGAAGAGCUUUACAUUGAAAUGUUUUACUUAAAAAUCUUGUGUAAGGGUGAAAAAUGUUUUAUGAUAUUAAGAAAAUAGCAUCUGCACCAGAAACACUGCUAAUUAUUUCUAUGAAUAGAAGGCUAUUGUGAUGAAAAUAUGGCCAAACUUUGUUAAAAUGAAGUAUUGGAAGAAUUUGGUGAAGAUCCGAGACUGGUGAUUUAUUGCAUUGCGUACGGGUGAUUUGAUGUAUGUUAACUUUAUCAUGGAAGCAUUCAUAUCUUGAGGUUUUACAAACACACUGAGAACCUUCCAUUAUAACACAUAACUAAAGUUGGGUAGUGGAAAUCAUUUUAUUUUUAAACUUUAUAUCAAGAAAAGAAAACUGAGAUGAAUAAAAAUAUGUGAAUG
rnacentral:sRNA from 1 species